UUUAAUUCGAUGACAACACGAAGAACCUUACCGAAGGCUUGACAUGACAGAAGUACGCCGAUAGGAAACUGAAGCCACGUUAAGUCGGUAGCUGCCACAAGUGCUGCAUGGCUGUCGUCAGCUCGUGCCGUGAGGUGUUAGGUUAAGUCCUGCAACGAGCGCAACCCUUAUUGCCAGUUAAAUUCUCUGGCGAGACUGCCUCGCAAAACGAGGAGGAAGGUGGGGAUGACGUCAAGUCAGCAUGGCCCUUAUGCCUUGGGCUACACACACGCCACAAUGGAUGGUACAGUUGGUUGCAAGAGCGUGAGCUGGAGCUAAUCCACCAAGACCAUUCUCAGUUCGGAUUGCAGGCUGAAACCCGCCUGCAUGAAGUUGGAGUUGCUAGUAAACGCAGGUCAGCUAUACUGCGUUGAAUACGUUCCCGGGGCUU
rnacentral:rRNA from 1 species